CCUACGGGAGGCAGCAGUGAGGAAUAUUGGUCAAUGGGAGGAAUCCUGAACCAGCCAUGCCGCGUGCAGGACGACGGCUCUACGAGUUGUAAACUGCUUUUGUACCGGGGUAAAAUGCUCUACGAGUAGGGUUUCGAAAGUACGGUACGAAUAAGGAUCGGCUAACUCCGUGCCAGCCGCCGCGGUAAUACGGAGGAACCGAGCGUUAUCCGGAUUUAUUGGGUUUAAAGGGUGCGUAGGUUGUUUUAUAAGUUAGCGGUGAAAUACCGAUGCUCAACAUCGGGGCUGCCGCUAAUACUGUAGGACUAGAGAUCGGAUGCAGCAGGCGGAAUGUGUAGUGUAGCGGUGAAAUGCAUAGAUAUUACACAGAACACCGAUUGCGAAGGCAGCUUGCUAGGCCGGAUCUGACACUGAUGCACGAAAGCGUGGGGAUCGAACAGGAUUAGAUACCCUUGUAGUC
rnacentral:rRNA from 1 species